GUGUUCGCUUCAGUAGCACAUACACUAAAAUUGUAACAAUACAGAGAAGAUUAACAUUGCCCCUGCGCAAGGAUGACAUGCAAAUUCGUGAAGCAUUCCAUAUUUUU